AUUGGCUCAGUUUUCUUUGGAAGAUGUUGUAAAUGUAAGAGAAUUGAAAGGCAGACCUGUUUCUACAGACAACAGAAGGGACAAAAGUGGAUCACUGUCGCCUCAAAACCAAUUGCUUCGGCAGGUGGGACUCAUCAACUUUAGACGGCAGCCCGCCUAGGAGAAGGAAAACUCUGAUUUCAAACCUCUGCUGCCUUGCGGCCAUACCCACCUAUGGGAAAGGCUUCAGCAGUAAACCCCGAGGAAGAAAUCCGGAGCCGGGGUCCCUAAGGCAGUUUGAUGUUAUUUACAACUUCACGCUGGCAACCUCUGUGACGACACUUGUGCCAAGAUGUAUCAGCACUUACCCUUCCCUUGGACUACAUUAGUGACGUGGAGAGGGGGAACCCGCUGCAUGGGCAACAGUCGGUUCUUCAAACCUUCCUGCCCAGGCUUGAGCCUUGGAGAGGACAUAGUCCACCAGAGACUUAAACCCAUGAUCCUCUGGGAUUGAUGGCUGCCUACUUGCAUUCUGUUCAGUGUUUAAUGAAAUGGUUGUACUUCCCAGAAUGGCUCUACUUUGAGUGACACUGCACAAGAAUGCUGAUAUGGCAACACGUGGCAUUUCUAAGGCUUGUACUUCAUCGUGCCUUAACGUUUCCCCU